rnacentral:rRNA from 1 species
GUCUACAGCUAUGCCACCCUGAACAAGCCAAAUCCCGUGUGAUCUUGGAAGCUAAGCAGGGUCAGGCCUGGUUAGUACUUGCAUGAGAGACCACCUAGGAAGACCAGGUGCUGUAGGCA